rnacentral:lncRNA from 1 species
UUUUUUUUUUGGUUCUUUUUUGGGUCAGAUAUGAGCAGGAGUUGUGACCUAUGCUGCAGCAAUGCCAGAUCCUUUUAACCACUGGGCCAGGCCAGGGAUUGAACCUGUGUCCUGCAGAUGCUGCCAAUCCCACUGCACCGCAGUAGGAACUCCUUGAUCUCUGUCUCUGCCGUACCCCCACUGCUCUCCCUGGCCCCACACCACGCGUACUACUGUGUAUACAUUCCUGAUCAGCCUCGGGCUCUUAAGGGAAUGUUGCAGCAGAGGGAGGUCCUACUUACUCCACAGGAACAGAAGCACAUUUUCUAUGCUUGGGCCUCACCCCUCUUUGGGGGAGACAGGGGUCUGGGGUGGGAUACUUGGUCCUGAGGGUCAAGAGGCAUUUGCUUCCUUGCAGUAGCUCCUGAACCCACCCCCACCCCACCCCCGCCAAGCAAGGUCAUGGAUGACUUGAAAUCCUUUCUUUCUCUGACUCUCUGUGGCUAAAGGACUGCCCAUUCUGAGUCUGAAUAUGUCUUUGCUUGUGUGUGUUCUGUCCUGCGUUUGGGUGAGCGGUGGGUGAUGGAACCAGGGAGAUGGAAUGGCAGACUCUGGGUAGGUACCAGGGUGUGGGCUCCUGUACUAGAGAGGAUAUAAAAACCUCUGUGUGCAUCAAGACAGGACUGGCAGGACCUUGGAUCAUUCUUGGUUCUUGUCGUAGCCCCGGGAUUAGCGGCAGGCUCUGCCGAAUAUGGGACGGGCUGUGUUUGUCACAGACUGAGCUGGCCUGGCCUGCCAGCAGUGGACAUCCUCACCUAGGAGCCUGCCUGCUCUCAUUUCGGGAUGCCGUUCCACUCAGGGAUGCACAUUGCCUUAGCACCACCAGAUUUGCUUAGAACUUUUGAGAUUUGCUGGCAAGGACUCGAGGGCCCAAUGAGUAAGGCCCAACAAGACGGGCUAAGGAAGAAGUGAUGUGGCAAAGACUUUGUAGUGACCCUAUAAGCAUCUCCUGAAGGUAUGUGCAUCUUCCUGUCCACACGUCCCCCACUGGUCCCCACGUCCAGCCUGAUCAAAGAUGGCCAGUUACGUUUCAGCCACUUCUGGGCAUCCGGCUGGGGCCCAUCAGUUGGCUCCACAUGACCUGAAUGAUCCCGGUCCUAAGUCCACCCAGGAUACGCUCUGCUCUGCCCAUGCUGGCUUCUCACAGCUCAGAUAUCCAAAUGUCACUUGUCCCUGUAUCAAUCAAGGCUCAGAUCCCUGGGGAGGAAUUAUUUCCAGACAUCGUUUGGGAGAAGUACUUGGCUCAUCUGGGAACCAUGGAGCCUGUGUGCUGCCUGCGUCGAUUUCACACCAGUGGGCCCUGUGCGCCCAGCCUUACCCAGGCCAGCCCACCCCCACACAAUGCCUCAUUAAUAUUCUGUCGUUCUUGGCCCAUUUGCUGCUGGGGCCGGGUGUUUAGCAUCGGCAGCUGUGUUUGGUAGGUUAGUCCAGCCGCGCUCUUGGCAUUGAUGGAUCCCUGAUUCACACGGCUCGUCAUAUAAUAAACUCUCAGCUGUGUUGAAGGGGUUGGGGGGCUGAGGGGCCGACGGGAUGGGGCUGGGCUGGGUUGGGGAGGGUGACACAGGGCCUCCGCGAUGCCAGGGAAACCACCAGGUGAGAACAGAUCCCUGGGGUCACAGGUGCACAGGGCAGGCCGGAAGGGGGUCUAAUUAGUCUCGUUUGUCCUGCACUUAAUGUCAAGCUCAUUAAAAAGGCUACAGAGUUAAUCAACAUACCACAAAUUGGAUUUUGAGUUCUGCAGCCAGUUUUGUGUACAUUAUGGCAACAUUGAUACGAUUAACUCUCAGGGUGAGGAUUUUAGGCCAGGUGCUCACUGUGCUUCAAAAUCCCUGUGCGUGUGUGUGUGUGUGUGUGUGUGUGUGUGUGUGUGUGUGUGUGUGUCUUGUCCUUUUUUUCCCCUAGGUUCUAUUUAUUCCUUUCCCUAGGCUGACUCUAGAGAUUUCCUAUUUAAACUCAUUUAACAUGUGAUCCACUUCAUAAUUAAAUUCAUAAAAAUCUGAUCAAACAAACCCCUCUGCCUUAACCCUUUGUUUUUUCAACUCCGAGGGCCCCCCUCUGGAGGGGAAAGGCACAGACGGCGGCUCCACCUCCGGGCCGAGCGGGCUGCCGAUGUACGUUUUAAUUACCGGCUCCGGCUGAAGUCUCACGUGGCCCUUGCUUUAUUUAUUUAUUUCUAUCUUAAUGAGGAUACUGAAUCCUUGAUUAAAGUCGUAAUCGUUGCCGAUUCGGUGAGGAGGGGGGAGCUGGCUGUCAGCCGGGGCCGUGUGGGCAGAUGUCUACACGGAGAGCGUGGCGUCUGGGCCCAGGCUCUGCCCGCCCGUCCCUGUUAGACGCACACCUGAUGAGGACCAGGGUCUGCAUGGCAUCUACUCUCCUGUGGUUGGAUGGGGCUGGUGGCGGGGGGCCAGGCCGUCUGCAUAGUCCCUGCAGCCGGGGGCAGGCAGGUGCCAGGAACCGAGGGCACCAAGGACCUGCCUCAUCACCAGAUCUGCAUGUGGGGCUCACUUCUGAGCCCAGCGCGGUGCCCCACAGCAUGGUGGGAGCUGGUGUGGAGCAAGAGACGUCUUUGCUCAGCAUCUCCCCUCUGACUCCUCCACGGGAGGGCUCCCACCCACCCUUCUACGCCCUGGGAGCUUCGUGCAAAUCUUCCACCCAUGAGAGAGCCCGCCAGCGAGCGGACCCCAGCGUUCACUCCCCACAGAGCCCUAGAAACCCUUCAGAGACAUCAGAAGGGAUGAGAAUGUAUGUGGGUACCGGGGUCUACCUUCGAGAAGGGGGAGGUUUGGUUAGCGGCCUGAGGACGGGAGAGAGAAGAGAGUAAAAUAUCAUUUUAAAGAGGAAGUGAAGGCUCAGGCAUGCGAGUCUAUAACGAGAAGGACAAUUUAUGCCCAGGCACGAGCGCAGUUUGACAUGGGGAUAAUGAAAAAACGUAGGUCAUUGUGGAUGACUUAAACCUUCAGCAGCUGAAGAAAAUGUAUGAAAUGCAGAGGACAUUACACGGUUGGCAGCCCCGCACAUCUGCAGAGGGACAAGUGAAAUACAGUGGGCCAUUCUUUACCAUAAACUGUGGUUGUUGGAGAUGCAGCCCAGAGAAAUUGUAAUUACAGUGACAAGACGAAUCAGCGAUAUUUAAAUAUUCAUGAACAAAGUCUGAGGUGAUCAAUCUAUCUUUAUUGUCUGUGCCUUCACUCCUGUAAUAAAUAAGUAGCUGAAGCCCUCACCUUUCAUCCCUUCAAAGCCCCCACUUUGGGUGCAAAGGGAGAGAUGGUGAGCCCCCACACCCCAGCUUCUAACCCGGGAGGAGACUUCAGGGUGGAGUGCACGGAACGGAGGCUGAUGGGCGCAGAGGCCGGGCCGGGGAAAGGCAGCUCUCCCCAAGCUUCAAAUCCUGACAUUUCCUGGGCGUCUGCUCAGUGUUGCCCCUGUGCUUCGUGUCAAGGCUCCAGGGAUGAGCAAGGCUCCCUUCUGGCCCUCGUGGUGCUUUCAUUCUCGAAGCACAGUGAGUGUGACCAGAGAUACAGUACAGUAUGUCAGUUACCAUUCUGCUAAGCAGCCAGUGCCCAGCCUCCGGAACCCAACUCACAAUCCCAUCUCAGCUGCUUACUAGCUCUUUGACCUUAGGGACCACGUUGAAGCAUCUCUAAACAUCUCACUUCUCUCAUGGGUAAGAUGAGAAGGAUACUGUCUUUCUUGUAAGGUUGUUGUGAUGAUUGCAUGAUAUGAUCUGUGUGAAGUUCUUAGCACAGUAUAAAGCACUCAACAAAUGUGGGUCACUUUAAUUAGAAAGUGCGGUAAAAAUUGUACUCCUGCUACCAAAUGCAUUUCUGUCUGGGAAUAGAGGAGAAAGUGACUCAGUUUACCUGGGCUGGGGCAGCGGAGGAUGGCGCUAAAAGGAAAGUUCCAAACCGUGGUGAUGUGGUGGGAGCUGGGCUUUGAUGAGCGAGUAGGAAUUCACCAAGGAGAGGAGAGGAAAUCACACAGCAAGAACAGCUGCAUAAGACUGUGGAGGAAGGAGAGAAAGAUCAGAAGGCAUUUGGGGGACAAUGAGAACAUUGGAGGGAUUUUUUUUGAGGAUAGGAGAGUCAGGCUGGUAUGGCUUUUGCCUCUGACCUCCUAGGGGCAAGAAAGCUGGGGGCAGGGUCUUGAAGCCCCUGGGUCUGUUCUGCCCUCAGACGGUCUGCUUUCUGGGGGUUCUGUUCAUCCCUGAAUCAAACAGACUCUUGCCCAAGACUGGCCCUUGAGGCAUGGAUGGCCACUGGGCCAAGGUCAGGGAUGGACACAUGUGGCCAGGUGUGCUCCCUGUUGAUGCCGAGGGGCCAGCAGCAAGGGCCACAUCGUCUUUGGAGGUAGUGAGUACAGACAGUCUUACCCCCUGCCCCAUGCACUCAGCGUGCCCUGCUGUCCCCCAAAGAGGGGGCAGGGGAAGGCGAGGGCCUGAUUCAGCCUCUUGUCCCCACAGGUGACCACCCGUAUGAGUGUGAGUUCUGUGGCAGCUGCUUCCGGGAUGAGAGCACACUCAAGAGCCACAAGCGCAUCCACACGGGCGAGAAACCCUACGAGUGCAAUGGCUGUGGCAAGAAGUUCAGCCUCAAGCACCAGCUGGAGACGCACUAUCGAGUGCAUACAGGUACCCAGGACACGCAGCCCAUAGCCAGCUCUGGGACCUGGGUGGGAGAGGGCCACGGUUCCCAGAGAAGCCCGGGUGAGGAGGGUCCCAGGCUGAGCCAGCACGAGGAACAACUGCCAAUAAGGCUCAGUGUGGUGACCACACUGAGUGCCGCUUCCUCUGGGCGAGGGCAAGGCAGACAUUGCUAAUCAAUCACAGCACACUUUCCAGGGGCCCAGACUGGCCUUCCAGGCAGCCAUACCAAUCGCUCGCAGAUGAUGUCCAUUUGUGACUCCUGAUUGAGGGAAGUGAAGGUGCCUGAUUAGCUGGAAGUGAAGGCUGGGAUGAUUUCCUGUGACUUGAGGGUUUGAGUAAGAGCUAGGGGACCUUAAGUUAGGUUAUGAUGAGGGUUGGGAAAAAUUACAAGUUAUAUGGAGUUUGGUUCAAAGAUUAGAGAAGCAGAUGUAUUUACUAACCCCUCUCUGAGUGUAAUGUUUCACCCGUUCACCGGGCCGUCACAUUCCUUUUUACAGAAAUGCGAGGGGCUCUUUUCUUGGGGCCCAAAGAUAGAACAAGUGGAAGUGGUCCCGAUGGCCAGAGCUGCCAGAGUUGACGGUGUGGGACACUAGAGCUGGGCCGAGCCUGCCUCUGGGGGCCAAGUGCACGUCUCAUCCCAGCCCUGUGUUCAGUCUGUCACGUUAGUGGCUGAAAACCAGCCACAGUGGGGCGUAUUCACAACAUGGCUGUCAACACCAGCUACAAAAUCAGGGCUUUGGGGAGAGCCUGUUGUUAAACAUUUACCGCACAGCUGGUCGGGGGGCUAGAUAUUCACAAGGCCUCGUCUGAGGAUGGGAGGUCGUAGAAGGUGGUGGAAUGUGGCAAAGUAGGAAGUCGCUCCUGAUCAGGGGAAGCAGCUGCCUGGCCAGAGGGAGGGGGAGAGGUGAUCAGGCCGGUGCUGCCGGCCCAGCGGAGAGUGUGUUUACCUGGGAGGGGAGGUGAACCCAGGGAGCCGUAAGCAGAGGAUGUGUGUUUUCAGAGCUCUGCUUGGGGCCACCAGGAGAGGAUGGGGUGCUCGUCGCUGACAACUGGAGUGACCCCCAGGAUUUCCCAGGGCCCUGGGGCUUCCCUAGCCCCUUGUCAGAGACGUGACCUGGCAGACGGAUCGUUACAUGCAUUGGCGUUGACGAUCGUAAAUAGCCAGUCAAUAGUUAGAUCACUUUGGCUGUUCAUUACUUCAUUAUUUGCAGGGGCCUCUGCACGGAGGAGUAUCGAUAGCGAGAUGGCUGGCCAGUUAAUUACUGUAUCGAAACAAGGUUCCCUUGUAUCCUCGGCUAGGCUCCAGGGGACUGUAACAGCGGGACAGGCUGUCACCCCGAGGGUGUGGUCACUCAUUCCCAGGCUCUCGGUCCCUUCCCUCUUCUAGCUGCCAAGGGGGAGGCAGGGUCCAGGGCAGGUUCUUAGAGCCUUAGAGGAGUCGCCAUCCCCCAGUGUAGCAUGUUUGCAGGAUGGGGUCCCCCAGUUUCACUGCCGUUCCCCAUCAUCUGUAGCCCUGAAAGGACUCCAUCCCCUUGCUCCCUGGAAGGAACUGUGUGCUAAAGAGCCAUCCCUAAGGACCAAGGAGGCUGUACUGCCCCUUGUCUACAUUUCUGUCUCCUUUCUUAGGAAGGGGAGAGUCUGUGGCCCUGAGUGGGUUAAGAGGAAGGCCAGCGGCUGGAGUGGUGCUGACAACACCAUGGCCCCAGCUAGGGGUGGCUCUUUACAUGAGUUACAGUGAUGGAGAUGCAGAAUGUAAGAGUUCCCUUUGUGGCUCAGUGGGUUAAAGACCCUACAUAGUUUCUAUGAGGAUGCAGGUUCAAACCCUGGCCUCACUCAGUGGGUUGAAGAUCCGACGUUGCUGUGAGCUGUGGUAUAGAUCUCAGAUGCGGCUCAGAUCCCGAGUUGCUGUGGCUCUGGUGUAGGCCAGCAACUGCAGCUCCGAUUCAACCCCUAGCCUGGGAAUCUCCAUAUGCUAUAGGUGCGGCCCUUAAAAGCCAAAAAAAAAAAAAAAAAAAAAA